AUGGGGCGCGUUUCUUCACCAAGCUCAACCUCUUGUUGGUGUAGCCAGGUCCAAAUGCACCAGGACGAUGUUGCCAAGACGGCGUUUCGGACUCAUCAUGGCCACUUCGAGUUGGUGAUGACUUUUGGCCUCUCCGACGCCCCGGCGACCUUCCAGGCUCUGAUGAACGACGUCCUCCGCUCCUACUUGCGUCGGUUUGUGCUCGUUUUCUUUUAUGACAUUCUUAUCUACAGCGCCUCGUGGGCAGAGCACCUUCAGCACGUCGCCAUCGUCUUCAACGAGCUUCGGGCGCACCAUCUUCAUCUUAAGCGCUCGAAGUGCUCGUUCGGGACGCCUUCAGUAGCCUACCUCGGCCACGUCAUCUCGGCCGAGGGGGUUGCUAUGGACGCCGACAAGGUGGCGGCCGUUGUGGCCUGGCCGACACCUCACUCACCGCGGGCUCUUCACGGCUUCCUGGGCCUCGCGGGGUACUACCAGAAAUUUAUCCGGGAGUUCGGCCUCAUCGCGUCACCGCUCACGCGCCUGCUGCGCCGCGACGCCUUUGCCUGGGAUGAGGAGGCGACGGCGGCGUUCGAGGCCCUCAAGGGGGGCCCUCACGACAGGCCCCGUUCUUCAGAUGCCGGAUUUCGACCGCCCGUUUGUGGUGGACUGCAACGCCUCAGGUGCGGGGUUCGGCACUGUCCUUCAUCAGGGCGAUGGCCCUCUCGCCUUCUUCAGCAGGCCAUUCGCCGCGCGCCAUCUUAA
rnacentral:rRNA from 1 species